GACGAACGCUGGCGGCGUGCUUAACACAUGCAAGUCGAACGGAAAGGCCCUGCUUUUGUGGGGUGCUCGAGUGGCGAACGGAUGAGUAACACGUGAGUACCCUGCCCUUGACUUUGGGGUAACUUCAGGGAACUGGGGCUAAUAACGGAUAGGAGAUCCUGCUGCAUGGUGGGGGUUUGUAAGUUUCGGCGGUUGGGGAUGGACUCGCGGCUUAUCAGCUUGUUGGUGAGGUAGUGGCUUACCAAGGCUUUGCCGGGUAGCCGGAGUGAGAGGGUGACCGGCACAAUGGGGACUGAGCUACGGGCCGGACUCCUACGGGAGGCAGCAGAGGGGAAUAUUGCAUGACGGACCGAAGCCGGAUGCAGGAAGGCCGCGUGCGGGAUGGUGGACUUCGGGUAGAAAACCCCUUUCCCGUGUAAUCAAGCGUAGGUGACGGUACUGGGUAAAGAAGCACCGGCUAACUACGUG
rnacentral:rRNA from 1 species